UGUUCCAAUACCUCAGGGGCUGCCACAAAGAAGAGGGAGUCAAGCUAUUCUCCAAAGCACCUGAAGUUAGAGCCUUCUGAAGAACAACCAGAUACUGUAUAUCUAUGUUGAACUACACUCCAGGAACCAAAGUUUAGCCAGAAAAUACAAAGAAGCACAGAACGAUUUCUUCGCAUCUGCAGAAUUCCUUGGCCUAGAAAAAACAAGAAGUUGAGGUGAUUUUGAAACUAUUAUCAUAAAUUAACUUUAGACUGCUUUUUGAAGACAGUGAAACUGAAUCAUAUUUGCCACCAUUUCCUUAACUUUUUAAACCUGGUAUCUUAUUAUUGUAGGCUGCCAGUUCAAAAUACUUGCAGAACAAAAAUAACGCUUUUUGCUAACUUUAUUUAAUGAUGACAGUAAAUUCUAUAUUGAAAGAUAAUAAAGGGAUUCAGCCACC